CUACCUGUGACAGUUCCAGAUCUCCCUGUACUACCUGUGACAGUUCCAGAUCUCCCUGUACUACCUUUGACAGUUCCAGAUCCCCCUGUACCUGGACCCUCUGUAGCAGCCCGUCCACCUGUACGUGUACAAUCAGACCCCUUUGAUAGUGACAGCGACCCAGAUGACCCUGAGCCUUUCCAUGGUUUUGAUGCCUCGCCCUAUUCAUCAGAUCUAGAUGUUCCCUCAUCAGUUGAUACGAGUAGUAUCACCUCUCCAGAGCCCAAAUCAGUUGAUACGAGUAGUAUCACCUCUCCCAUUCCUUCAGACUCCCAAGCACCUGCCCAUCCUACUCCAUAGCCCAGCCACCCACUCAUCUACCAUAUGCCCAUCCCAGUAAGCAAGCCAACCACUAGAAUUUGACUGGCAUGCACCUGUGACUUACAUAAACCAGACCUCUACAUAGCCUACAUGUCUUCAUUUUGCUGAAG